rnacentral:lncRNA from 1 species
UUCCAGUGGCCACAGUGGAGAACUUUUAACCUAGACAAGCUUAUCCAUUUACAGGUGCCCUAGAGAAAAAGGGAUCUCACUAUAAAGGGUAGAGGGAAAUUAUUUUUCCUUAUUGACAACUUCUUGUGACCAGUAUGAGACCCACUAAGACACCCUGUUUGCUCCAGAGCGUGCAGAUGGGAUCCUGGGAAAACUGGCAGAAGCUGGCAAAAGGGUCAGCUAUUGCCUUCUUGUUUGCCUUGCUUUGUGUCCUGAGAACUUGGCUUGGGUUUCUGCCUGAUUGAGGCAUGCAGGUUCUUGCGUGUGCAGGCAGCUCAAAUGUCAGGUUGGGGGUCCCAAAAAUACAGCCGGACAGAAAUAUAAGCCUGUGAUGAAUAAGACGUCCAAUUAAAAAUUGAAUGAGAUACCAGAUAAAAGUUACAGUAUUACAGAGUGAAAACUGGCAUUCUCCCCUUCUGAUGUGCAUUGCCAGCUCCUCCAACAAGGGUAAACCUGACCAACUAGUCAUUAAAUCCCUGGUGGCCUGUGACUUUCCUUGGCCAAUAGAAUGUGGUCUCAAGAAGCAUUACUUGCUUCCACUCUCUUCCCUGGAACACUGCCAAGCCUCCAAAUGAACAUUUCCAACCUAGCCUGUCAGAAGAUGGAAGAUACUUGGCCUGGUUACUCACAUUGCCACAGCCAACAGCUAGUCAAACACCAGGCAUGUGUGCAAUGCCAGAUUAGAUAGUCAGCUCAGGCAACCUUACAACUGAUCUCAGACACAUAAGAAAGCCUGAGAUCAACCAAGCCUGGCCUAGAUGGGCAGACCCAUAGACUCAUCAGUGAUAUUAAUGAUUGUUUUAAGGCUUGGAAAAUUUGAGCCCAUAGAUUGUCCCCUUGCUUUUGUAAAUAAAGUUUUAUUAGAACACUGCCACACCCAUUUGUUUAUGUAUUGUCUGCAGCUGCUUUCAUGCUACAACAGUAGCAUCAACCAAUGGCAAUAGAGACCUUAAUGACCUACAAAGCCAAAAAUAUCAUCUGGCCAUUUAUAGAAAAGGUUUGCUGACCCCUAUUUUAAGCCACUACAUUUUGAGGUGGAUUGUUAACCAAGAACAUGUGAAUAUAUCCUUUUGGCAAAAUAUUUCCAGAAAUGUUUGCUUUCAUUAAAUACAGUAUCCUAUUGUAUUGUUAUUUCUAAUUUAUAAUAAUUUCUAGACCUUCUAAGUUUUACAACUACUUGUUAAACAAAUAUUUAAUUAUUGAGUAUCCAAUAUAAGCCAUCACUCCACUAGGUGCUAGCGAUAUAG